rnacentral:lncRNA from 1 species
AGAAGGUGUGUCCACUAUUUUCCCAGUGGUGUAUGAAAGGCAGGCCAGCUCCUGAACCCCAACGUUGUUCCUCAAGUUUUUUUUGCCUGGUCUGUAUCAAAAGACAGAAUCUUGAUGACUAAGACAUUUUCUUUGGUACCUACAAGAAGGAUCCAGCUCUCUACUUCUAUCAGCUCCUGGAUGACUACAAGAAAGGGAACCUCCACAUCAUUCCAGACACUCCUCUGGCUGAGGAGAGAUCAGGAGAUGACAGUGAUGUGUUGAUAGACAGAGACAUCAUGGCCUCCAUGCAGAGGAAUGUGUGGAUGGACAUAUAUUUAAGGAAGACACUAAACCAGAAAAUACCACAUUACACCCUCUUAAAAGACUUCUAAGAUUGUUGUCAUGCCUACCACAGACAUUCAGAUGAUGUGUAUUCUUGAUUGUGAUUUCAUGUUUGGAGCUGAUGAAGGAGAAAGUACCUGGAAUGUCCUAGAAUUCUCAAGACCCAGGAGAUGAACAUAUGCCUGAGAAGAAGAACUAGUGUGGAACUGUCAGCCAGGUUUUUGAUGAGUGCUCAGACUGCUUCCUGAUCCGGCACCACAUUUACUAUAGUGGACAGAUGCUCUAGUCUCUGAUGAGGAGUUGCUAGCUGUUAGGAAAAACCUGGAAUGGGCUCCACUGCAUGAGGCUUGGUCGAAGCCUUCCUCACUAAUAACAAGAACACCCAUGCCAUGGGAAAGAAGAUAUUAGAGGAAAAUUUCCCAAGAUUUGGCAUCUCUAAGGUACUUUCAUCAGACAAUGGCCCCUCCUUCAUUGUCCAGAACCCCCUCUAGCUCACUUGAAGGCCCUACAAUUGGUCAGAAAAGAUGCCUUGGAAAUGCUGAAACACAAUAAAAAACAAAAACAAAAACAAAAAAACAAAAAAAACAUACUAACCAGGAACCAUCUUCGUGCCACAUAAAUUUCAAACAGAAGAUCCUGUCCGGGUCCGGUGCCACCAUUCUGGCAAACUUGAACUCAGAUAAAAAGGAUGCUCCCUGGUGCUUCUGACAAGCCCUGCUGCCGCACCUCCAGCAUGUAACCGCUUCUGGCCUGCCAUGGCCCACUGGCCUGGCACU